UAAAAAAAUAAAAAGAUAGAAAAAUUAGAUAGAAAGAUAGAAAGAUAGAAAGAUGAAGAGAAUAAUGAGGAGAAGAAUAAGGAGAAUAAUAAGGAGAAGAAUAAGGCAAAAGAUAUUAUUUUAUUUUAUUUUCGUUUUUUUUAAAAUAAAGAUAGAAAAAUAAAAACAGAAAGAUAAAAAUAGAAAAAGAUUUUUUUUUAAACGGAAAGAUAAAAACAGAAAAAUAAAAACAAAAAGAUAUUUUUUUUCGUUUUUUUAUAAAGAAAAAAAAAUAAAAACAGAAAGAUAAAAACAGAAAGAUAGAUAAAGAGAUAGAAAGAUAGAAAGUCUAAAUGAUUAAGAAUCACACACAAAGAAUAGUCACUAGUAGAAAACUAGCUUUUUAUGACGAGGCUAUUAUGACGUACAAAAAUUAUCCAUCAUAAUAGGUUGUAUCAGUGGCAAAAUCGUAAUAAAAGUAAGACAUUUAAGACCUAUUAUGACGUAAUUUUGUAGAUCAGUCAUAAUAUAAAAAUGCGGUGUAGCAAACUUGUAAAUAAGUUAAAAGAUAUUAUUACGUAGAUAGAUUUACGUUAUAAUAUGUUAAUAUCUGUACCUCUCAAAUUUUCUCUCUUUCACGUACUCUCAGACUCUGGGUCCUCUCAUCUGUUCACUCUCACUCUCACACUCUCACACUCUCCAUCCUCUCUUCCUCUCUAAACUCUCGAUCCUCCACACCGUGUUUUUCACACUCCUCCUCUCGAUCCUCUCUAAACUCUGGGGCCGUCAUUUUCUCGUCUCCUCCACCAACGCCCACCACGUCGUGCUUUUCUUGCUCUGAGAACACUCUUCCUCUGUGAAGCCCUAGGGUCUGCCAUUUUCUCGUCUCCUCCACCAACGCCCACCACACUGUGCUUUUCUUGCUCUGAAAACACUCCUCCUCUACGACGCGCUAGGGGCGGCCGUUUUCUCGUCUCCUCCACCAACGCCCACAAUCGUCUCUGAGAACCCUCACUCUGUGGCCUCGGUGGUUUCUUUUCCUGUCCAAGAAAUCCCAUUCCUUGACUCUAGGUUUGUU
rnacentral:lncRNA from 1 species